rnacentral:rRNA from 1 species
GUCUACAGCCAUGCUGCCCUGAACAAGCCCGAUCGUUUCUGAUCUCAGAACCUAAGCAGGGUCGGGCCUGGUUAGUACUUAGAUGGGAGACCACCUAGGAAGACCAGAUGUUGUAGACA